GCGUCCGUAGCUCAGUUGGUUAGCGCACCACCUUGACAUGGUGGGGGUCGGUGGUUCGAGUCCACUCG
rnacentral:tRNA from 1 species